UAGCCGUAUUUCAUCUACUCUUCACCUCAGAUCUCACCACCCCCAUCUUCCUUGCUCCUGUGGUAUUCUCGUCCCUUCAUCUCUAAUAUCACCACCACCAUUCUUCAUCCAUCUUCGUCCCUAGAUUAUUAUUCAAUCGAUUCAAUAUUUUGCUAUCUUCUCAUUUUAUGAUUAAGUAUUGUAUCUUCAAACGAUUAAGUAUUGGGUUUUUUAGUUUAUUUAGUUUGUGUUUUUAAAGGGGGUUUAAUGUUUCAAUUUUUAAAGUUUCACAAGUGAUUUAGGGUUAGGGAUAAUAAAUAUAUAAAGUUGUGUUUUUAAAAUUUGAUUUGGGAUUUAUUAUGAUGAACUGUACAGUUUUGUAUUUAUGAAAUAAUUUUGAUUUUGUAUGCGUUUUUGUGAUAUUUUAUUUUUAUGUAUUGAGUUAGAUCAUUGUGUGUCCAGAUCUAGUGUUUGGAGGAGAUCUAGUUUCUGAGGAUAUUCAUAGUCAACUCACGAUGAGAAACAACACAAGAACCCUCCUCAUAAGCAGAAGAUGAUGUUUCUUUGGGAUCUCUCAUGGUGUAAAUAGAUUUUAGGAGUUUUGGCAUAUUUCUAGGCCCUGCAUUCAUGGCAGCAACUUUAAUUGUUGUUUUCCAGCAUUUAUCUUGUUCAGGAAGAUAAAAAGAAACUUCAAUAGAGAUGAAUUUAUUUGCAAAACAAGCAUUAGAGUUGGGCAAUUUGUUAUGCUCCUGGAUUUAAUGUUGUGAAUUGGACAAUUUGUUAUUUUACAAUGUUUAGGUGAAGUAUGUGAACCCAAACAACUUCCUGUUAUUGAUCUUGAAGCUUAUUUGUAGUUUCUUUCUUUUUUCAAUCAAUGAUUGGCCAUUGUCUUGGUGCAGCUGGUGGUUGCAUACAUUCUUUAGCCAAGAUAAUUUGAAAGAGGAUGCUACAAUUGUUACUGUCCGUAAUUUUAAGAAAAAACAUGAAGCUGGUGUUGCAAUCUCCCAAUUCAUUUGGAUUUGGUGGACACAAUUUUUAACAUUUCUGGAUGCAGUGAAUAUGGAACAUUUGUUUAUAUGGAUUUUAUCUAAGGAAUUAGAAACAUCUCAUUGAUAUGAGUGGAUAUGAAAACAUCUCAUUUAAUUUAGUGGGUAUCAUGUUCCAACAAUAACUUAGAAGGAUGAAUUAAGCUAGCUCAAUAAUCCUUAAUAAAUUUUAAAAGGAUGAACUAAAAUGGCUAAAAAUAGCCAUUUAUGUUG